rnacentral:rRNA from 1 species
AAUCAACGCUGGCGGCGUGCCUAACACAUGCAAGUCGAACGCGAGAGGGGCUUCGGCCCCAAUUGAGUGGCGAACGGGUGAGUAACACGUGGGUGAUCUACCUUUGAGUGGGGGAUAACGUUCCGAAAGGAACGCUAAUACCGCAUGACGGUCCGGGUUUGAAGACCUGGAAACCAAAGCCGGGGCCCUUAGGGAAACUUAAGGCCUGGCGCUUGGAGGGGAGCCCGCGCUGAUUAGCUAGUUGGUGGGGUAACGGCUCACCAAGGCGACGAUCAGUAGCCGGCCUGAGAGGGCGGACGGCCACACUGGGACUGAGACACGGCCCAGACUCCUACGGGAGGGCAGCAGUGGGGAAUUGUUCGCAAUGGGCGCAAGCCUGACGACGCAAACGCCGCGUGGAGGAUGAAGGUCUUCGGAUUGU